CCUACGGGAGGCAGCAGUGGGGAAUAUUGGACAAUGGGGGCAACCCUGAUCCAGCCAUGCCGCGUGUGUGAAGAAGGCCCUCGGGUUGUAAAGCACUUUCAGUGAGGAAGAACGCCUGGUGGUUAAUACCCAUCAGGAAAGACAUCACUCACAGAAGAAGCACCGGCUAACUCCGUGCCAGCAGCCGCGGUAAUACGGAGGGUGCGAGCGUUAAUCGGAAUUACUGGGCGUAAAGCGCGCGUAGGUGGCUUGAUAAGCCGGUUGUGAAAGCCCCGGGCUCAACCUGGGAACGGCAUCCGGAACUGUCAAGCUAGAGUGCAGGAGAGGAAGGUAGAAUUCCCGGUGUAGCGGUGAAAUGCGUAGAGAUCGGGAGGAAUACCAGUGGCGAAGGCGGCCUUCUGGACUGACACUGACACUGAGGUGCGAAAGCGUGGGUAGCAAACAGGAUUAGAUAUCCCUGUAGUC
rnacentral:rRNA from 1 species